rnacentral:rRNA from 1 species
GGGCCUAACACAUGCAAGUCGAACGAGGCUUUCCGGUGCUUGCAUGGAAAAUCGAGUGGCGAACGGGUGAGUAAUACAUGAGAAACCUGCCUUGGAGACGGGGACAACCUCGGGAAACUGAGGCUAAUACCCGAUAUCCCUGCCGAGUCGCAUGACUUGGCAAGAAAAUACUCAGGUGCUCCAAGAGGGUCUCAUGCCCUAUCAGCUUGUUGGUGAGGUAAAAGCUCACCAAGGCUUAGACGGGUAGCUGGUCUGAGAGGACGAUCAGCCACACUGGGACUGCGACACGGCCCAGACUCCUACGGGAGGCAGCAGUGGGGAAUCUUGCGCAAUGGGCGAAAGCCUGACGCAGCCACGCCACGUGUGGGACGACGGCCCUCGGGUUGUAAACCACUUUCAGCAGGGACGAAAAUGACGGUACCUGCAGAAGAAGCCCCGGCCAACUACGUGCCAGCAGCCGCGGUAACACGUAGGGGGCGAGCGUUGUCCGGAAUUACUGGGCGUAAAGGGCUCGUAGGCGGUUUGGUAAGUCAGAUGUGAAAACUCCAGGCUCAACUUGGAGACGCCAUCUGAUACUGCCAUGACUAGAGUUUGGUAGAGGAGUGCAGAAUUCCCGGUGUAGCGGUGAAAUGCGCAGAUAUCGGGAGGAAUACCAGUCAGCGAAGGCGGCACUCUGGGCCACAACUGACGCUGAGGAGCGAAAGCGUGGGGAGCGAACAGGAUUAGAUACCCUGGUAGUCCACGCCGUAAACGGUGGGCACUAGGUGUGGGACCCUGUCAACGGGUUCCGUACACGUAGCUAACGCGUUAAGUGCCCCGCCUGGGGAGUACGGCCGCAAGGCUAAAACUCAAAGGAAUUGACGGGGGCCCGCACAAGCGGCGGAGCAUGUUGCUUAAUUCGAGGCAACCGAAGAA